GACGAACGCUGGCGGCGUGCUUAACACAUGCAAGUCGAACGGAAAGGCCCUGCUUUUGUGGGGUGCUCGAGUGGCGAACGGGUGAGUAACACGUGAGUAACCUGCCCUUGACUUUGGGAUAACUUCAGGAAACUGGGGCUAAUACCGGAUAGGAGCUCCUGCUGCAUGGUGGGGGUUGGAAAGUUUCGGCGGUUGGGGUUGGACUCGCGGCUUAUCAGCUUGAUGGGGGGGUAGUGGCUUUCCAGGGCUUUGACGGGUAGCCGGCCUGCGAGGGUGCCCGGCUACAUUGGGACUUAGAUACGGCCCAGACUCCGACGGGAGGCAGCAGUGGGGAAUAUUGCACAAUGGGCGGAGGCCUGAGGCAGCAACGCCGCGUGCUGGAUGACGGCCUUCGGGUUGAAAACCGCUUUCGCCUGUGACGAAGCGUGAGUGACGGUAAUGGGUAAAGAAGCACCGGCUAACUACGUG
rnacentral:rRNA from 1 species